rnacentral:rRNA from 1 species
GACGAACGCUGGCGGCGUGCUUAACACAUGCAAGUCGAACGGAGAGGCCCUGCUUUUGUGGGGUGCUCGUGUGGCGAACGGGUGAGUAAAACGUGAGUAACCUGCCCUUGACUUUGGGAUAACUUCUGGAAAAUGGGGCUAAUACCGGAUAGGAGCUCCUGCUGCAUGGUGGGGGUUGGAAAGUUUCGGCUGUUGUGGAUGGACUCGCGGGUUAUCCGCUUGUUGGUGGGGUAGUGGCUUACCAAGGGUUUGAAGGGUAGCCGGCCUGGGAGGGUGACCGGCGACAAUGCGACUGAGAGACGCCGCAGACGCCUAUGGGAGGCAGUAGGGGGGAGCAUGGCACAGUGGGCGCAAGCGUGAGAUAGCAACGUCGCGUUCGUGAUGACGUGUUUCUAGUUGUAAACCGCUGUCGCCGGUGACGAAGCGUGAGUGACGGUAAUGGGUAAAGAAGCACCGGCUAACUACGUG